rnacentral:rRNA from 1 species
UCCUACGGGGGGCAGCAGUGAGGAAUAUUGGUCAAUGGUCGGGAGACCGAACCAGCCAAGCCGCGUGAGGGAUGAAGGUACAGAGUAUCGUAAACCUCUUUUGUCAGGGAACAAAGGCGGGGACGUGUCCCCGGAUGAGUGUACCUGAAGAAAAAGCAUCGGCUAACUCCGUGCCAGCAGCCGCGGUAAUACGGAGGAUGCGAGCGUUAUCCGGAUUUAUUGGGUUUAAAGGGUGCGCAGGCGGUCUUUUAAGUCAGCGGUCAAAGCCCGGGGCUCAACCCCGGCCCGCCGUUGAAACUGGCAGG